AAUUACAAAUUUAUUAAUUAACUUAAGGAUUUGGUCUUAGUCCACGCUCUUAGCUUCGGCAACAAUCAAACACAUGGUACCAUUUGGAUUACAGUGAGGGUAUAAAAAAUAAAAUUAUUGUUAAAAACAUUCUUUAUAUUAUUUUUUAACUAACAUAAUUAUUUUAAUAUUACGUUAAAUCUGUUUCACUUAACGAACGCCAGUGUUGGAGAUUAAGGAAAUAAAUUAAUGUUUGACUUAGUGAUUAGCCUAAAGGCCUGGUAAAGUUUGUGCCAGCCACCGCGGUUACACAAACGGACCAAGUUAAGACAAAACAGUAAAAAAAUUAGUCAGGAAACAUGCUCAUUAAGCAUCAAAUUCAUAGAAAAAUUAAAUUUUAUUAUGGAGGUAAAAUUCGCAUAAUUGAAAUAAUCUAUUAUUUUCUUAAUUCUGAUUCUAAGAAAUCUCACCAAGAAACCGGGAUUAGAUACCCCGCUAUCCGAGGCGUAAAAUUUAAUUAUUUACUAAAUUUACUAGAGUAAUACGAGGAGAGCACGAGCUCUAACAAGUAAAAUAAAAAUUACUAUAACUAACCUUAAAACUCAAAAGACUUGGCAGUACUUUAAAUCCUUCCAGGGGAACCUGUCCUGUAAUCGAUAGUCCACGAUCAACCUCACCUUCCUUUGACCUAUCGGCUUUCGCCGUAGACCAGCCUGUAUACCGUCGUCGCCAGAUUACCUUUACAGAGAAGAAGCAGUUAUCAACAAGAAAUAUGUUUUAUUUUCACAUCAAAUAAUCUCAUUAAUUUAACUAUAACAAGUUAAUAAACUAUAAAUUGCUAGUAAAAUAAAACAAUUUCUUCCACACGUCAGAUCAAGGUGCAGCUAAUAGGAAGGAAGAGAUGGGUUACAAUAAUUAACUUAUUAUACAGAUUUUUACUUGCAAAAAUAAAUUGAAGGAGGACUUGGAAGUAAUCUAUAAAAUUACAAGAAAUUAGAAUACUUAGAUGAAAAUGGCUAUAAAGUAUGCACAUAUCGCCCGUCGCUCUCGUUAGAAAAUGAGAUAAGUCGUAACAUAGUGAGGGUACUGGAAAGUGCUCUUAGAGAUAACCUACUAAUUAACACAGAAACCAAUAC
rnacentral:rRNA from 1 species